GACGAACGCUGGCGGCGUGCUUAACACAUGCAAGUCGAACGAAGAGCGAUGGAAGCUUGCUUCUAUCAAUCUUAGUGGCGAACGGGUGAGUAACGCGUAAUCAACCUGCCCUUCAGAGGGGGACAACAGUUGGAAACGACUGCUAAUACCGCAUACGACCUAAUCUCGGCAUCGAGGAUAGAUGAAAGGUGGCCUCUACAUGUAAGCUAUCACUGAAGGAGGGGAUUGCGUCUGAUUAGCUAGUUGGAGGGGUAACGGCCCACCAAGGCGAUGAUCAGUAGCCGGUCUGAGAGGAUGAACGGCCACAUUGGGACUGAGACACGGCCCAGACUCCUACGGGAGGCAGCAGUGGGGAAUCUUCCGCAAUGGACGAAAGUCUGACGGAGCAACGCCGCGUGAGUGAUGACGGCCUUCGGGUUGUAAAGCUCUGUUAAUCGGGACGAAAGGCCUUCUUGCGAAUAGUGAGAAGGAUUGACGGUACCGGAAUAGAAAGCCACGGCUAACUACGUG
rnacentral:rRNA from 1 species